UUGGUGGGGUGAUGGCCUACCAAGGCGACGACGGGUAGCCGGCCUGAGAGGGCGACCGGCCACACUGGGACUGAGACACGGCCCAGACUCCUACGGGAGGCAGCAGUGGGGAAUCUUGCGCAAUGGGCGAAAGCCUGACGCAGCGACGCCGCGUGAGGGAUGACGGCCUUCGGGUUGUAAACCUCUUUCAGCCCUGACGAAGCGAAAGUGACGGUAGGGGCAGAAGAAGCACCGGCCAACUACGUGCCAGCAGCCGCGGUAAUACGUAGGGUGCAAGCGUUGUCCGGAAUUAUUGGGCGUAAAGAGCUCGUAGGUGGCCUGUCGCGUCGGCUGUGAAAACUCGGGGCUCAACUCCGAGCUUGCAGUCGAUACGGGCAGGCUAGAGUGCGGCAGGGGAGACUGGAAUUCCUGGUGUAGCGGUGAAAUGCGCAGAUAUCAGGAGGAACACCGGUGGCGAAGGCGGGUCUCUGGGCCGAUACUGACACUGAGGAGCGAAAGCGUGGGGAGCGAACAGGAUUAGAUACCCUGGUAGUCCACGCCGUAAACGUUGGGCGCUAGGUGUGGGAUCCCUUCCACGGGUUCCGUGCCGCAGCUAACGCAUUAAGCGCCCCGCCUGGGGAGUACGG
rnacentral:rRNA from 1 species